rnacentral:tRNA from 1 species
GUUUUAGUAAUUUAAAAAAAAUAUCAUUUUUGUAAAAUGAAAAUAGGUUGACUUUAAAAUU